UGGGGAAUUUUGGACAAUGGGCGAAAGCCUGAUCCAGCAAUGCCGCGUGUGUGAAGAAGGCCUUCGGGUUGUAAAGCACUUUUGUCCGGAAAGAAAUCCUUGGCUCUAAUACAGUCGGGGGAUGACGGUACCGGAAGAAUAAGCACCGGCUAACUACGUGCCAGCAGCCGCGGUAAUACGUAGGGUGCAAGCGUUAAUCGGAAUUACUGGGCGUAAAGCGUGCGCAGGCGGUUUGCUAAGACCGAUGUGAAAUCCCCGGGCUCAACCUGGGAACUGCAUUGGUGACUGGCAGGCUAGAGUAUGGCAGAGGGGGGUAGAAUUCCACGUGUAGCAGUGAAAUGCGUAGAGAUGUGGAGGAAUACCGAUGGCGAAGGCAGCCCCCUGGGCCAAUACUGACGCUCAUGCACGAAAGCGUGGGGAGCAAACAGGAUUAGAUACCCUGGUAGUCCACGCCCUAAAACGAUGUCGACUAGUUGUUGGGGGAUUCAUUUCCUUAGUAACGUAGCUAACGCGUGAAGUUGACCGCCUGGGGAGUACGGUCGCAAGAUUAAAACUCAAAUGAAUUGACGGGGUCAUAGCUG
rnacentral:rRNA from 1 species